GCUAUACAUGCAAGUCGAGCGAACCAAUAAGAAGCUUGCUUUUUGUUGGUUAGCGGCGGACGGGUGAGUAACACGUGGGUAACCUGCCUGUAAGACCGGGAUAACUCCGGGAAACCGGUGCUAAUACCGGAUAGAUUAUCUUUCCGCCUGGAGAGAUAAGGAAAGAUGGCUUUUGCCAUCACUUACAGAUGGGCCCGCGGCGCAUUAGCUAGUUGGUGAGGUAACGGCUCACCAAGGCGACGAUGCGUAGCCGACCUGAGAGGGUGAUCGGCCACACUGGGACUGAGACACGGCCCAGACUCCUACGGGAGGCAGCAGUGGGGAAUAUUGCACAAUGGGCGCAAGCCUGAUGCAGCGACGCCGCGUGGGGGAUGACGGCCUUCGGGUUGUAAACUCCUUUCAACCAUGACGAAGCUUUCGGGUGACGGUAGUGGUAGAAGAAGCACCGGCUAACUAC
rnacentral:rRNA from 1 species